rnacentral:rRNA from 1 species
GAGGAGCUUUCGGGCUUCGACCGGCGUACGGGUGCGUAACGCGUAUACAAUCUGCCUUUCACAUAGGGAUAGCCCGAAGAAAUUUGGAUUAAUACCUAAUGGUAUAUAGAUGUGGCAUCACCUUUAUAUUAAAGCUGAGGCGGUGAAAGAUGAGUAUGCGUUCUAUUAGCUAGUUGGAGAGGUAACGGCUCCCCAAGGCUACGAUAGAUAGGGGUUCUGAGAGGGAUAUCCCCCACACUGGUACUGAGAUACGGACCAGACUCCUACGGGAGGCAGCAGUGAGGAAUAUUGGACAAUGGUCGGAAGACUGAUCCAGCCAUGCCGCGUGCAGGAAGACGGCCUUAUGGGUUGUAAACUGCUUUUGCAGGGGAAGAAUAAGGACUACGAGUAGUUUGAUGACGGUACUCUGCGAAUAAGCAUCGGCUAACUCCGUGCCAGCAGCCGCGGUAAUACGGAGGAUGCGAGCGUUAUCCGGAAUCAUUGGGUUUAAAGGGUCCGUAGGCGGGCUAAUAAGUCAGAGGUGAAAGCGCUCAGCUCAACUGAGCAACUGCCUUUGAAACUGUUAGUCUUGCAUGGUUGUGAAGUAGUUGGACUGUGUAGUGUACGCGGUGAAAUGCUUAGGUAUUACACAGAACACCGAUAGCGAAGGCAUAUUACUAACAAUUAAUUGACGCCGAUGGACGAAAGCGUGGGGAGCGAACAGGAUUAGAUACCCUGGUAGUCCACGCUGUAAACGAUGGAUACUAGCUGUUUGGUUGUAAGACUGAGUGGCUAAGCGAAAGUG